UGGAAGUAAAAGUCGUAACAAGGUCUCCGUUGGUGAACCAGCGGAGGGAUCAUUACAGAGUUGAAAAACUCCCAAAACCACUGUGAAUCAUACCUGUCCGCGUUGCUUCGGCGGGCAGCUCCGGGGAGGAGCUGCCGCCUCCCUUCGGGGGGGCGCCCGCCGGAAGCCCCUAUAAACUACUCUGCAAUUUGGCUGGCAACUCUGAGUAUUUAGCAUGUAAAUGCGACUAAAACAAAAAAAACUUUCAACAACGGAUCUCUUGGCUCUAGCAUCGAUGAAGAACGCAGCGAAAUGCGAUAAGUAAUGUGAAUUGCAGAAUUCAGUGAAUCAUCGAAUCUUUGAACGCACAUUGCGCCCGCCAGCACUCUGGCGGGCAUGCCUGUUCGAGCGUCAUUUCAACCCUCAAGCCCAGCUUGGUGUUGGGGCGCCACGGAGCUUCGGCGCCGUGGGCCCUGAAAGUCAGUGGCGGACUCGCUGUGUGUCCGGGCGUAGUAGUAAUAUGUCGCCUGUGGACGCCCUGCGGGCUCCUGCCGUAAAACGCUUCUAACCAGAACGUUGACCUCGGAUCAGGUAGGAAUACCCGCUGAACUUAAGCAUAUCAAUAAGCGGAGGAA
rnacentral:misc_RNA from 1 species